ACAUAAACAUAAGACUAGAUAAGCUCCCACAUUUUGUACGGUUUCCAUUAUAAGAUAAUAAGAACGAUCCAAACUGUUUAAUACUCGAUUUAAUCAAGUUGUGAGCAUUCGCGUGUGAGUGGUUGCAUUCCACCAAAGUUUGUGGCCAGUUAUCUUUCGCGAUAUAAGAGCUGCGAAUCAAUUUCUAUACGUAGACACAGUGAAAUUCGACCUAUCAGUUUACGCAGUAAAUGGUCGCGAAUCUGUGUUCUAAGGUUAAACAGGAAUUACUUUUAAGCCCAAAUUUAAGGAGAACCGGACUAAAAUCACUAAAAUCAUAGUGCCCUAGAACUGAACACGAGAAAUAUCGAAGGGGAAUUAAACGUGAGUAACAUAAUUAUCAUUGAGAAACAAACAACGCAUAGGAAGUAAAUCGAAUGAGAAACGGCCAGUUUAAUGAAUGAUUUGAUCGAAUGAAUGGAUUAAGUCCAUAGAGAGAAAAACAAUUAC